rnacentral:rRNA from 1 species
AGGAAUCUUGCGCAAUGGGGGACACCCUGACGCAGCAACGCCGCGUGAGUGAGGAAGGCCUUCGGGUCGUAAAGCUCUGUCAGAUGGGAAGAAAUGGGUGGGGCUAAUAUUGUCCAUCCUUGACGGUACCAUCAGAGGAAGCACCGGCUAACUCCGUGCCAGCAGCCGCGGUAAUACGGGGGGUGCAAGCGUUGUUCGGAAUCAUUGGGCGUAAAGCGCGCGUAGGCGGCUUGGUAAGUCAGAUGUGAAAUCCCUGGGCUUAACCCAGGAAGUGCAUUUGAUACUGCCUCGCUAGAGUACGGGAGAGGAAAGUGGAAUUCCUGGUGUAGAGGUGAAAUUCGUAGAUAUCAGGAGGAACACCGGAGGCGAAGGCGACUUUCUGGCCCGAUACUGACGCUCAGGCGCGAAAGCGUGGGGAGCAAACAG